GAGGAAUAUUGCACAAUGGGCGCAAGCCUGAUGCAGCGACGCCGCGUGAGUGAAGAAGGCCUUCGGGUCGUAAAGCUCUUUUCUGCGUGACGAGGAAGGACGGUAGCGCAGGAAUAAGUCUCGGCUAACUACGUGCCAGCAGCCGCGGUAAAACGUAGGACACAAGCGUUAUCCGGAAUUACUGGGCGUAAAGGGCGUGCAGGCGGUUGGGUAAGUUAGGCGUGAAAGACUUCGGCUAAACCGGGGGAGGUCGUCUGAUACUGCUCAACUUGAGUAUGGUAGAGGCGUGUAGAAUUCCGGGUGUAGUGGUGAAAUGCGUAGAGAUCCGGAGGAAUACCAGUGGCGAAGGCGGCACGCUGGGCCAUAACUGACGCUAAGACGCGAAAGCAUGGGUAGCGAAC
rnacentral:rRNA from 1 species